rnacentral:tRNA from 2 species
UAAAGAUUUAGUUAAAAUAUAACAUUAAUUUGUCAAAUUAAAAUUAUUAUAAAAUAAUAAUCUUUAU